rnacentral:rRNA from 1 species
UAUCCGGAAUCAUUGGGUUUAAAGGGUCCGUAGGCGGGUUUGUAAGUCAUUGGUGAAAGUCUGCAGCUCAACUGUAGAACUGCCAUUGAAACUGCAUACCUUGAGUAAUUAUGAAGUGGUUAGGAUAUGUAGUGUUACCGUGAGAUGCGUAUAUAUUAUCAUCGAAUACCGAUUGCUGAGCGCAGGUCACUUCUAUUUUACUUGACAGCUGAUGCACAAGGACGUAAGGUCGCGAGCAGGAUUAGAUACCCUGAGUACUCUACUCCGUCUACGCCGGUAACCAAUGGUUACUACGCUGUUCGGACCGACUUAGUGUCUGAGUGGCUAAGCGAAAGUGAUAAGUAACCCACCUGGGGAGUACGUUCGCAAGAAUGAAACUCAAAGGAAUUGACGGGGGCCCGCACAAGCGGUGGAGCAUGUGGUUUAAUUCGAUGAUACGCGAGGAACCUUACCAGGUCUUACAUGUAGCUUGACAGGCGUGGAAACACCUUUUCCUUCGGGCAAGUUACAAGGUGCUGCAUGGUUGUCGU